UAGGGAAUCUUCCACAAUGGACGCAAGUCUGAUGGAGCAACGCCGCGUGAGCGAAGAAGGUCUUCGGAUCGUAAAACUCUGUUGUUAGAGAAGAACAAGGAUGAGAGUAACUGUUCAUCCCUUGACGGUAUCUAACCAGAAAGCCACGGCUAACUACGUGCCAGCAGCCGCGGUAAUACGUAGGUGGCAAGCGUUGUCCGGAUUUAUUGGGCGUAAAGCGAGCGCAGGCGGUUUCUUAAGUCUGAUGUGAAAGCCCCCGGCUCAACCGGGGAGGGUCAUUGGAAACUGGGAGACUUGAGUGCAGAAGAGGAGAGUGGAAUUCCAUGUGUAGCGGUGAAAUGCGUAGAUAUAUGGAGGAACACCAGUGGCGAAGGCGGCUCUCUGGUCUGUAACUGACGCUGAGGCUCGAAAGCGUGGGGAGCA
rnacentral:rRNA from 1 species